GAAGCCGAUGAAGGACGUUACUAACGACGAUAUGCUUUGGGGAGCUGUAAGUAAGCUUUGAUCCAGAGAUUUCCGAAUGGGGAAACCCAGCAUGAGUUAUGUCAUGUUAUCGAUAUGUGAAUACAUAGCAUAUCAGAAGGCACACCCGGAGAACUGAAACAUCUUAGUACCCGGAGGAAGAGAAAGAAAAUUCGAUUCCCUUAGUAGCGGCGAGCGAAACGGGAAGAGCCCAAACCAACAAGCUUGCUUGUUGGGGUUGUAGGACACUCUAUACGGAGUUACAAAGGACGACAUUAGACGAAUCAUCUGGAAAGAUGAAUCAAAGAAGGUAAUAAUCCUGUAGUCGAAAAUGUUGUCUCUCUUGAGUGGAUCCUGAGUACGACGGAGCACGUGAAAUUCCGUCGGAAUCUGGGAGGACCAUCUCCUAAGGCUAAAUACUCUCUAGUGACCGAUAGUGAACCAGUACCGUGAGGGAAAGGUGAAAAGCACCCCGGAAGGGGAGUGAAAUAGAACCUGAAACCGUGUGCUUACAAGUAGUCAGAGCCCGUUAAUGGGUGAUGGCGUGCCUUUUGUAGAAUGAACCGGCGAGUUACGAUUUGAUGCAAGGUUAAGCAGUAAAUGUGGAGCCGUAGCGAAAGCGAGUCUGAAUAGGGCGUUUAGUAUUUGGUCGUAGACCCGAAACCAGGUGAUCUACCCUUGGUCAGGUUGAAGUUCAGGUAACACUGAAUGGAGGACCGAACCGACUUACGUUGAAAAGUGAGCGGAUGAACUGAGGGUAGCGGAGAAAUUCCAAUCGAACCUGGAGAUAGCUGGUUCUCUCCGAAAUAGCUUUAGGGCUAGCCUCAAGUGAUGAUUAUUGGAGGUAGAGCACUGUUUGGACGAGGGGCCCCUCUCGGGUUACCGAAUUCAGACAAACUCCGAAUGCCAAUUAAUUUAACUUGGGAGUCAGAACAUGGGUGAUAAGGUCCGUGUUCGAAAGGGAAACAGCCCAGACCACCAGCUAAGGUCCCAAAAUAUAUGUUAAGUGGAAAAGGAUGUGGCGUUGCCCAGACAACUAGGAUGUUGGCUUAGAAGCAGCCAUCAUUUAAAGAGUGCGUAAUAGCUCACUAGUCGAGUGACACUGCGCCGAAAAUGUACCGGGGCUAAACAUAUUACCGAAGCUGUGGAUUGUCCUUUGGACAAUGGUAGGAGAGCGUUCUAAGGGCGUUGAAGCAUGAUCGUAAGGACAUGUGGAGCGCUUAGAAGUGAGAAUGCCGGUGUGAGUAGCGAAAGACGGGUGAGAAUCCCGUCCACCGAUUGACUAAGGUUUCCAGAGGAAGGCUCGUCCGCUCUGGGUUAGUCGGGUCCUAAGCUGAGGCCGACAGGCGUAGGCGAUGGAUAACAGGUUGAUAUUCCUGUACCACCUAUAAUCGUUUUAAUCGAUGGGGGGACGCAGUAGGAUAGGCGAAGCGUGCGAUUGGAUUGCACGUCUAAGCAGUAAGGCUGAGUAUUAGGCAAAUCCGGUACUCAUUAAGGCUGAGCUGUGAUGGGGAGAAGACAUUGUGUCUUCGAGUCGUUGAUUUCACACUGCCGAGAAAAGCCUCUAGAUAGAAAAUAGGUGCCCGUACCGCAAACCGACACAGGUAGUCAAGAUGAGAAUUCUAAGGUGAGCGAGCGAACUCUCGUUAAGGAACUCGGCAAAAUGACCCCGUAACUUCGGGAGAAGGGGUGCUCUUUAGGGUUAACGCCCAGAAGAGCCGCAGUGAAUAGGCCCAAGCGACUGUUUAUCAAAAACACAGGUCUCUGCUAAACCGUAAGGUGAUGUAUAGGGGCUGACGCCUGCCCGGUGCUGGAAGGUUAAGAAGAGUGGUUAGCUUCUGCGAAGCUACGAAUCGAAGCCCCAGUAAACGGCGGCCGUAACUAUAACGGUCCUAAGGUAGCGAAAUUCCUUGUCGGGUAAGUUCCGACCCGCACGAAAGGCGUAACGAUUUGGGCACUGUCUCAACGAGAGACUCGGUGAAAUCAUAGUACCUGUGAAGAUGCAGGUUACCCGCGACAGGACGGAAAGACCCCGUGGAGCUUUACUGUAGCCUGAUAUUGAAAUUCGGCACAGCUUGUACAGGAUAGGUAGGAGCCUUUGAAACGUGAGCGCUAGCUUACGUGGAGGCGCUGGUGGGAUACUACCCUAGCUGUGUUGGCUUUCUAACCCGCACCACUUAUCGUGGUGGGAGACAGUGUCAGGCGGGCAGUUUGACUGGGGCGGUCGCCUCCUAAAAGGUAACGGAGGCGCUCAAAGGUUCCCUCAGAAUGGUUGGAAAUCAUUCAUAGAGUGUAAAGGCAUAAGGGAGCUUGACUGCGAGACCUACAAGUCGAGCAGGGUCGAAAGACGGACUUAGUGAUCCGGUGGUUCCGCAUGGAAGGGCCAUCGCUCAACGGAUAAAAGCUACCCCGGGGAUAACAGGCUUAUCUCCCCCAAGAGUUCACAUCGACGGGGAGGUUUGGCACCUCGAUGUCGGCUCAUCGCAUCCUGGGGCUGUAGUCGGUCCCAAGGGUUGGGCUGUUCGCCCAUUAAAGCGGUACGCGAGCUGGGUUCAGAACGUCGUGAGACAGUUCGGUCCCUAUCCGUCGUGGGCGUAGGAAAUUUGAGAGGAGCUGUCCUUAGUACGAGAGGACCGGGAUGGACAUACCUCUGGUGUACCAGUUGUCGUGCCAACGGCAUAGCUGGGUAGCUAUGUGUGGACGGGAUAAGUG
rnacentral:rRNA from 1 species